GGCGGGCCCCUGCGCAUUGUGGCAUGGUCAACCUGGUCAGGUCGGGAACGAAGCAGCCACAGCCAUUUCCCGCAAGUGCCGCAGACAAGGCUCGCCUCU
rfam:Herbaspirillum sp. HZ10 Scaffold4_1, whole genome shotgun sequence.